AACGAACGCUGGCGGCAUGCCUAACACAUGCAAGUCGAACGAGACCUUCGGGUCUAGUGGCGGACGGGUGCGUAACGCGUGGGAACCUGCCCUUAGGUUCGGAAUAACUCCCCGAAAGGGGUGCUAAUACCGGAUAAUGUCUUCGGACCAAAGAUUUAUCGCCUUUGGAUGGGCCCGCGUUGGAUUAGCUAGUUGGUAGGGUAAAAGCCUACCAAGGCGACGAUCCAUAGCUGGUCUGAGAGGAUGAUCAGCCACACUGGGACUGAGACACGGCCCAGACUCCUACGGGAGGCAGCAGUGGGGAAUAUUGGACAAUGGGCGAAAGCCUGAUCCAGCAAUGCCGCGUGAGUGAUGAAGGCCUUAGGGUUGUAAAGCUCUUUUACCCGGGAUGAUAAUGACAGUACCGGGAGAAUAAGCGCCGGCUAACUCCGUG
rnacentral:rRNA from 1 species